rnacentral:lncRNA from 1 species
UCAUCGGCCAGAUGAAUCGAAGGCCUCCGUAAUCCAAGAGCAUUCCUGGACGAGUUUAGAGAAGAAGGGCAUUCCAUGUCACGAGAUCUCUCGAUGGUGCAGAUUUGAUACAGCAACUCAUGCCAUCCGUAUUGAAUAUGAUUCUUAAAUGCUGUGACCAAUAUGCCAAUGUGCUCGACGUCAUCUUUCGUGCUUGCUGUUGGUUUCAGCCACCUCUAAAAGAGUUGCUAGCACGGCAUUACAUGUAGUAAGAUUUCGCUGGAUGCCGGAGAGGAGCUUGAUCUCUUGGACAUUGAAGCUGACGGCGGCCAGGCAAAUUUUUUACACGAUGCCCGAGUCUCGCGCAGCAAUGGUUCACGCAGCACAGGAAGCAUCUCGCCCAGCACGGCGGCGACCUCAAUCAAGCAGCUCUUCCAUUCCCCGUUCACUACCUUGCGUGUACUCCUCGCACUUGAGCGGAAUGAUUUUU